UGGGGAAUAUUGGACAAUGGGCGAAAGCCUGAUCCAGCAAUGCCGCGUGUGUGAAGAAGGUCUUCGGAUUGUAAAGCACUUUCGACGGGGACGAUGAUGACGGUACCCGUAGAAGAAGCCCGGCUAACUUCGUGCUAG
rnacentral:rRNA from 1 species